UGGUAAUGAUGAUAGUUGGAGAUGAAGAUAGAUAGAUGGCAGCCUAGAGUCCCACUAGUUGCCAAGCCAUAGAGUCCCACCUAGGCACACAUAACCUUGGCAAGCUAGAGUCCAACUAGUUGCCUCGCUGUAGGAGUCUCACCUAAGCACACUUGAGUCACACAGACAAAAUAAAAUUCAG